UACGUAGGGUCCGAGCGUUGUCCGGAAUUACUGGGCGUAAAGCGUGCGCAGGCGGUUUGUUAAGUCCGUUGUGAAAGCCCCGAGCUCAACUUGGGAAUUGCAGUGGAUACUGGCAGGCUGGAGUACGGUAGAGGAAGGUGGAAUUCCCGGUGUAGCAGUGAAAUGCGUAGAUAUCGGGAGGAACACCAGUGGCGAAGGCGGCCUUCUGGACCAGUACUGACGCUCAUGCACGAAAGCGUGGGGAGCAAACAGG
rnacentral:rRNA from 1 species